UUCUUCCUUCCUUCCUUCCAUUCUCCCUUCCUUCCAUCCUUCCUUCCUUUCUUCCUUCCUUCAUUCUUGCUACCCCUUCUCCUUUCAUCCCUUCCUUCCUUCUUCCCUCCUCUCCCCUUCUUCCUCUCCUUCCCUCUUUUCCACCUCUAUAACCACCUCCUACUCUUUCCCCCUCCUUUUCUUUUAUUCUUAGUACCCUCUUCUCUCUCCCUCUCCCAUUCCUCCCUUCCCUCAUUCUUCCAUCUUCCUUAUCUCUUGUGGCCAUCACUGCCAUACCUUGAUUUGCUUUCCUUAUUUUCCAACUCAGGUUUUAACCGUUCCGAUCAACUGCAGUCUGCAUCAACACAUCAGUGUCAAACGGGAUUCGGAAGACAUCCCUGCAGCCUGAGGUCCAGGGAACAACCGUGACUUGCUUUUCACAGCCAGAGUUCAUGUCCACACUCGGCAUUCAGGAGCUCUGCUUGUCUUUACAGCUAUAAGAAGCAAUGAGUUAAGAAGCUGAAGAAACAGAGAGCCUGCAGUCAGUGGAUCAUCAUGUGUGGAUCUCGGGGGCCUGCACUGCAUAAGUGCUCAAGGCCAAACUUAGAAAGCGAUGAUGCUUCCAGGAGACUGCAGGGGGAACUGCAGAGAAGGUUGGGAGUAACAAGCAUGGCUCCUCUGACCUUUGACCCUUGGCUACAGACGUCUAUUACAAAGACAGUAAGAGGAUCUGCAUCCUACUAUUCACAUGAGUAAUAUUUACCAGUGGUCAUCCUGACAGCUCCUCCUUGUGAGGAAUUCAUAGUAGCAUCUGUCUCGCUGUAAAAUCAUCCAUUCAUUGCUGGGAUCAACCACCCACGUGCCAUACAGAGCAAGCCACAUACUAAGAGCUGGAACACAGAUAAGCCCCGUCUUUCCCUGUAGGAGCUCCAAGCUCUGCACAGCUCUCCUUGGUCUGGGGAACACUGGAAUAAGAGAAGCAAGACAGUCUGUGGGGUCUGCUGUGGGCAACUCACUCCACAAGCAGGCUUCCCCUAAAGCCGAUCCUUUGUAAAAAGCUGUGGUGACCAGCUCCACCUCCUAAGAGUCUUGUAAGAGCUCUAGGCACCAGGUGGUGGCUGACUCCAGGUGACUCCAGCCGCCCUCAUAUCAAACACAAAGGCCAACACUGUACCACAGUCCAGCAUCAUGCAUUCUAGACUUUUUCUCACUUGCUAACAAUAAAUGACAAUUAUCCUUUAGUGAAGCAGGAAGCUGAUGCUCAAAUUUUAUGAGGCAAAGGCAGUACUUGUCCCCUGGUCUGACCUCUUGGGAUACACUACCCUUCUGCCUUCAGCUACCCAUCCUGCCCUGUGUCUAGAAGCCCCUUCUUCCUGCAAUAGUGACAUCAGUGUUCCCUGAAGGUUGUUCCCUCACUCAGGCACUGCAUGGAGUUGUUAGAAAGUAAUCCAGGAUGUGCUGCAUGCAGGGGAGUCACCUGCUGAUCUGUUUCCACUAAAAAUCCGUGCUUCAAACUCUUAUCCUUAAUAAAGUGGCCUUUGAAAAU